rnacentral:lncRNA from 1 species
AGUCUGGAUGAAUUGCUAUUUGAAAUAUUUCUGUUUCCUAUCUGUGAAAAUUGAAUUGACUGUAGGAAGAAGCACUUAACUGGUUUUAUUGUAUCCACUUUUAUUUCAGUUUCUUGUCUUUAAAUUCUACUGUUCUGUAAUCAAAAUCUUGAAGUGAGUUAGAGAAGGCAGGCUGGGGCAUUAUGGAAUCGAUGUAUAAAUUUAAACGUGAUUUGAAAAAUGCUGCUCUUGUUUUCUUUCAAAACAGAGUAGUACGUGGCUCAUAAUGCCAUUGCAAUGUGUAAAGAUAAAUCACUCUACUAAAUUGGUGAGUGACAGACAUUUUUAGUUCACAAAUUUGUGGUGCCUGAACUGCCUCCCGGAACAGCGCAUACUGGCUCAUACAUAUUAUGUGAGCCUACUUAAAAACCCGAUUUCUGAAAGAAACAUUUUAAAGGGAAGGAGAGAAGCUUUAGGUUUCUCCUUUUUAUUAUUCCUAUGCAGGUGAACUAUAUUUGAAUCCUCACAGUUACCAUGUGUUAAAAGAGUUAAAAGAUCAAAUCUGUCUUCUUUUUUUUUUUUUUUUUUUUUUUUUUGAAAUGCAUAAGAGGAAACCAGAUCAGAAAAAAUAACUACUUAUUGAAACUAAACUGCUUUUGAGGGUUGUUUUACUUAAUAUACAUCUACACUCUAGCUUCAAAGUUUUCUUCUCAAACUUCAUCCCUUUUGGCCUGUUUCACUUCUCAGCCAUUUGUCUGAAUCAGGAUUUCAUAGAAUAAUAGAAGGAUUGAAUGGGUUGAAGAGAACCAUAAUGAAAAUCUAGUUUUAUCCUCCUGCUAUGUGCAGAGUUGUCAACCACCAGACCUGGCUGCCCAGGGCCAUAUCCAGCCUGACCCUGAAUGCCUUGGCUUGCAACUUUGACACUAACUUACACUCACAAUAACCUUUUGUGGAAGACCAGAAGAUUCCUCUGGAGGCAACACAGCAUGCAUCAGAACUGAUUUAUACUACAACAUCUGUCAACUUUUCCCUGGGAUCUAGUUGUGCCAGGAUACAUGUGUCAUCUCUCCUAAUGACUUAUCAAAAGGUA